rnacentral:rRNA from 1 species
GGCUCAGACAGCCAGGAUGUUGGCUUAGAAGCAGCCAUCAUUUAAAGAAAGCGUAAUAGCUCACUGGUCGAGUCGGCCUGCGCGGAAGAUGUAACGGGGCUAAGUAGUAAACCGAAGCUGCGGCAAUGUGCUUUUGCACAUUGGGUAGGGGAGCGUUCUGUAAGCGGUUGAAGGUGUGUGGUAACGCAUGCUGGACGUAUCAGAAGUGCGAAUGCUGACAUGAGUAACGAUAAAGGGGGUGAAAAACCUCCUCGCCGGAAGACCAAGGGUUCCUGUCCAACGUUAAUCGGGGCAGGGUAAGUCGACCCCUAAGGCGAGGCCGAAAGGCGUAGUCGAUGGGAAACGGGUUAAUAUUCCCGUACUUCUUACAAUUGCGAUGGGGGGACGGAGAAGGCUAGGUGGGCCUGGCGACGGUUGUCCAGGUUCAAGUGCGUAGGCUUAAGAGUUAGGUAAAUCCGGCUCUUUCUAAGGCUGAGACACGACGUCGAGCACCUACGGGUGUGAAGUCAUUGAUGCCAUGCUUCCAGGAAAAGCCUCUAAGCUUCAGAUUGUAAGGAAUCGUACCCCAAACCGACACAGGUGGUCGGGUAGAGAAUACCAAGGCGCUUGAGAGAACUCGGGUGAAGGAACUAGGCAAAAUGGUACCGUAACUUCGGGAGAAGGUACGCUCUUGAUGGUGAAGUCCCUUGCGGAUGGAGCUGACGAGAGUCGCAGAUACCAGGUGGCUGCAACUGUUUAUUAAAAACACAGCACUGUGCAAAAUCGUAAGAUGACGUAUACGGUGUGACGCCUGCCCGGUGCCGGAAGGUUAAUUGAUGGGGUUAGACUUC